UCAAUGGAGAGUUUGAUCCUGGCUCAGGACGAACGCUGGCGGCGUGCUUAACACAUGCAAGUCGAACGGUAAGGCCCUUUCGGGGGUACACGAGUGGCGAACGGGUGAGUAACACGUGAGUAACCUGCCCUUGACUCUGGGAUAACAUCUGGAAACAGUUGCUAAUACUGGAUAUGAGCUGCCCUGGCAUCGGGGUGGUUGGAAAGUUUUUCGGUCAAGGAUGGACUCGCGGCCUAUCAGCUUGUUGGUGAGGUAGUGGCUCACCAAGGCUUCGACGGGUAGCCGGCCUGAGAGGGCGACCGGCCACAUUGGGACUGAGAUACGGCCCAAACUCCUACGGGAGGCAGCAGUGGGGAAUAUUGCACAAUGGGCGGAAGCCUGAUGCAGCAACGCCGCGUGCGGGAUGACGGCCUUCGGGUUGUAAACCGCUUUCAUCCAUGACGAAGCUUUUGUGACGGUAGUGGAAGAAGAAGCACCGGCUAACUACGUGCCAGCAGCCGCGGUGAUACGUAGGGUGCGAGCGUUGUCCGGAUUUAUUGGGCGUAAAGAGCUUGUAGGCGGUUUGUUGCGUCGGGAGUGAAAACUCAGGGCUUAACCCUGAGCCUGCUUCCGAUACGGGCAGACUUGAGGAAGGUAGGGGAGAUUGGAAUUCCUGGUGAAGCGGUGGAAUGCGUAGAUAUCAGGAGGAACACCAGUGGCGAAGGCGGAUCUCUGGACCUUUCCUGACGCUGAGAAGCGAAAGCGUGGGGAGCAAACAGGCUUAGAUACCCUGGUAGUCCACGCCGUAAACGGUGGGUACUAGGUGUGGGGGACAUUCCACGUUCUCCGUGCCGCAGCUAACGCAUUAAGUACCCCGCCUGGGGAGUACGGCCGCAAGGCUAAAACUCAAAGGAAUUGACGGGGCCCCGCACAAGCGGCGGAGCAUGCGGAUUAAUUCGAUGCAACGCGAAGAACCUUACCUGGGUUUGACAUAUGCCGGAAACAUCUAG
rfam:Tessaracoccus bendigoensis DSM 12906 genome assembly, contig: EK12DRAFT_scaffold00047.47